AGGGAACUCCCUUACCCCUUGCACUCCCUGAGUGAGACAAUGCCUCGCCCUGCUUCGGCUUGGCUGGCGCACAGUGCGCUAAACCGACUGUCCUGCUCCCACUGUUUGGCACUCCCUAGUGAGAUUAAC